CCUACGGGAGGCAGCAGUGAGGAAUAUUGGUCAAUGGGCGCAACCCUGAACCAGCCAAGUAGCGUGAAGGAUGACUGCCCUACGGGUUGUAAACUUCUUUUAUACAGGAAUAAAGUGAGGCACGUGUGGCUUAUUGUAUGUAUUUUAUGAAUAAGGAUCGGCUAGCUCCGUGCCAGCAGCCGCGGUAAUACGGAGGCUCCGGGCGUUAUCCGGAUUUAUUGGGUUUAAAGGGAGCGUAGAUGGGUUGUUAAGUCAGGUGUGAAAAGUUGCGGCUCAACCGUAACAUUGCAGUUGAGACUGGUAGCCUUGAGUACGGGUGAGGUAGGUGGAAUUCGUGGUGUAGCGGUGAAAUGCUUAGAGAUCACGAAGAACGCUGAUUGCGAAGGCAGCCUACUAAACCGUAACUGACGCUGAGGCUCGAAAGUGUGGGUAUCAAACAGGAUUAGAUACCCUGGUAGUC
rnacentral:rRNA from 1 species